GAUGAACGCUGGCGGCGUGCUUAACACAUGCAAGUCGAACGAAGCACUUUAUUUGAUUUCCUCGGAAUGAAAAUUUUGUGACUGAGUGGCGGACGGGUGAGUAACGCGUGGGUAACCUGCCUCAUACAGGGGGAUAACAGUUGGAAACGACUGCUAAUACCGCAUAAGCGCACAGUACCGCAUGGUACGGUGUGAAAAACUCCGGUGGUAUGAGAUGGACCCGCGUCUGAUUAGCUAGUUGGUGAGGUAACGGGCCCACCAAGGCGACGAUCAGUAGCCGACCUGAGAGGGUGACCGGCCACAUUGGGACUGAGACACGGCCCAAACUCCUACGGGAGGCAGCAGUGGGGAAUAUUGCACAAUGGGCGAAAGCCUGAUGCAGCGACGCCGCGUGAACGAAGAAGUAUUUCGGUAUGUAAAGUUCUAUCAGCAGGGAAGAUAAUGACGGUACCUGACUAAGAAGCACCGGCUAAAUACGUG
rnacentral:rRNA from 1 species